ACGGGCUGUUAAUAUUGUGUGUGUAGGGUCUUAGUUGGUGCAGUAUAUAAAUUUCCUAAAUUUUCCCUCUUAUUCCCGCCCCGUUGAUUCAAUUUUGUUUUCCCUCCUCCUUUCUCUCCAUUAUUUCCCUUCAUGAAAAGGGGAAAGAAAUAGAAGAAAAUGGUUGGAGUGAAUAAUUUUGCGAAGACAAUUUGUUCAAUUUGCUAUGAAGAUCAAAACCCUAUUAUCGAAGAUCUCCAAUCCGUUACUAUUUGCGGUCACGUUUUUCACGAACUAUGUCUUCAGCAAUGGUUUGAAUACUGCGCAAAAAAUGUGAAAAAGAAGAAUUGUCCAGUUUGCAAACAGGCUUGUUCAGAAGAAAAUGCAACUAGGCUUUAUUUCCAAUCUAUUGGCGAUACAAAUGAUACAAGUCUCACCCAGAAACCUCGCGAUUAUGAAGAGGAUCAUCGGGAAUUGAGAAAUGAGGUCAAAAGGUUGGAAGGGAAAGUUUUACGACUGACUUCCACUUUGGAAAAACAACUGAAAGAUCUCAAAGAAGUCAAUGCAGAGCUGUUCACAUGCAAGGAGGAUUUGAAAAUGGAAGUGACUCUAAAGGAUGAAGCUGUGAAACAAGAGGCAGCCAUGCAGCAGUUGCUACAUCUUAAAUCCAAGGAGCUAGAUCGAUCAACUUUGGAGUGCAUAAGGCUACAAGAUAGAAAUAUGGCUCUAGCUAAGGAGCUUGCAACACUCAAGUUAGUCUGCGAUUUUAGCUUGGAGGAAGAAGAGGUCUUGAAACUUGCUUCAUUAGGAAAUGAUGUCAAUAGCAAAGAGACAAUUGAUGUCCUGAAAAAAUCAUUGGUCAUCCGUAACAAAAGUUACAAAGAACUAAUGACCAAGUGCAACAGGCAAGAGGCUCGUUCUCUCAGGAAACUUCAGAAAGCUAAAGAGAAGAAAAAUAAGUUGAAGGUUAGGGUCCAAGAACUUGAGAUGGCACUUGAAGGAAAAGAUAAUGAAAUUUUGAGAAUGUCGAAAGCCUCCAAGAAAAACUACCAGGGAAGUAAAGAACCAAAAGUUGACAGAGAUUCAUAUGAGAAUCAGAAUAAGGCACCUGCUGAGACAGAAGAAGAUUUAUGCAUGGUAAUUGGAUCAUGUGAUGAUUUAUCUAGACCAAGGAGAAAAAGAAAGUAUAAGUCUAAGGAUAGGAUUAUACUAAACACGGCAGAAGAUAUUAUAGCUAGCAGUCUUCACAAAAAUAAUCACAACAAAGACUCUUCCAUGAGAAACAAAGAUGGAGGCACUUCAGAGACUUCCACUUAUCUGCAUGAAGUAGCAAACCAAAACUUGCAUCAAUCAAUUGGCCCUAAGAAGGCUGUCCAUGAUGGAAGUCUAGUGCACGGAUCAGGAAAUAAAGAUGGAACGUCAGGCUCAAGGAAUUGUAGUAAGAAAAGUACAGAAAACAUGCCCCCUGUGAUUAUUCUUGAUGAUGAUGAUACUGACCUUCCACCUCUAGAUGACAUUACACAGCACCAGCCCUCAUUUCACACCAGGAAAGAGACUUCUUCACCCGUUGUACUUGCCCAACCAGGAGACAGCUGCUUUUCUGGUGGAUUGUUAGGUCCUGAUGGGACUAACUGGCUCUUGGGAAAAUGGUGUAAGAGAAGGUAAAGGACAAGGGAUCUGGAUCACUGUCUUGAGGACUGCAAGGAUCAGGUGCGAGUGCCGGUGAUUUGAUUGCUCAUGACAAUAGUGAGAGUUUGCCAUCAUUCAAGAGAUAAAAGUACGACACCAAAUCAAGUAGUUCCCAGUCUCAAAGAUGCUUGCGAAUAUAUAGCUUCGUCAGAAGGGCCAGUUUACCUCCUGUAAAAUAUCCAUCAAAGAUGUAGGGAAUCCAUUCCUUGUACAGUGUUUAGGCGUUUCAUUUUAGCAAUCUAGUUAUACUGCCAUUUGAUUGAUUAGUUUUUGCUCGAUCAAUACAUAUUGAAAGUGCAUU